GAUGAACGCUAGCGAUAGGCUUAACACAUGCCAGUCGAGGGGCAGCAUGGUCUUAGCUUGCUAAGACUGAUGGCGACCGGCGCACGGGUGCGUAACGCGUAUGCAACUUGCCUCACAGAGGGGGAUAACCCGUCGAAAGACGGACUAAUACCGCGUACACUUGGGAUAGGGCAUCCUGACCCAAGGAAAUGAAAUUCGCUGUGAGAUAGGCAUGCGUCCCAUUAGCUAGUUGGUGAGGUAACGGCUCACCAAGGCGACGAUGGGUAGGGGAACUGAGAGGUUGAACCCCCACACUGGUACUGAGACACGGACCAGGCUCCUACGGGAGGCAGCAGUGAGGAAUAUUGGUCAAUGGGCGAGAGCCUGAACCAGCCAAGUCGCGUGAAGGAUGACUGUCUUAUGGAUUGUAAACUUCUUUUAUACGGGAAUAACAAGAGUCACGUGUGGCUCCCUGCAUGUACCGUAUGAAUAAGCAUCGGCUAACUCCGUG
rnacentral:rRNA from 1 species